UGCUCAGAUUGAACGCUGGCGGCAGGCCUAACACAUGCAAGUCGAGCGGCAGCGGGAAAGUAGCUUGCUACUUUUGCCGGCGAGCGGCGGACGGGUGAGUAAUGCCUGGGGAUCUGCCCAGUCGAGGGGGAUAACAGUUGGAAACGACUGCUAAUACCGCAUACGCCCUACGGGGGAAAGGAGGGGACCUUCGGGCCUUUCGCGAUUGGAUGAACCCAGGUGGGAUUAGCUAGUUGGUGAGGUAAUGGCUCACCAAGGCGACGAUCCCUAGCUGGUCUGAGAGGAUGAUCAGCCACACUGGAACUGAGACACGGUCCAGACUCCUACGGGAGGCAGCAGUGGGGAAUAUUGCACAAUGGGGGAAACCCUGAUGCAGCCAUGCCGCGUGUGUGAAGAAGGCCUUCGGGUUGUAAAGCACUUUCAGCGAGGAGGAAAGGUUGGCAGCUAAUAUCUGUCAACUGUGACGUUACUCGCAGAAGAAGCACCGGCUAA
rnacentral:rRNA from 1 species